GAUGAACGCUGGCGGCGUGCCUAAUACAUGCAAGUCGAGCGAACAGACGAGGAGCUUGCUCCUCUGACGUUAGCGGCGGACGGGUGAGUAACACGUGGAUAACCUACCUAUAAGACUGGGAUAACUUCGGGAAACCGGAGCUAAUACCGGAUAAUAUAUUGAACCGCAUGGUUCAAUAGUGAAAGACGGUUUUGCUGUCACUUAUAGAUGGAUCCGCGCCGCAUUAGCUAGUUGGUAAGGUAACGGCUUACCAAGGCAACGAUGCGUAGCAGACCUGAGAGGGUGAUCGGCCACACUGGAACUGAGACACGGUCCAGACUCCUACGGGAGGCGGCAGUAGGGAAUCUUCCGCAAUGGGCGAAAGCCUGACGGAGCAACGCCGCGUGAGUGAUGAAGGUCUUAGGAUCGUAAAACUCUGUUAUUAGGGAAGAACAAAUGUGUAAGUAACUAUGCACGUCUUGACGGUACCUAAUCAGAAAGCCACGGCUAACUACGUG
rnacentral:rRNA from 1 species